UACAGAGGGGGCAAGCGUUGUUCGGAAUUACUGGGCGUAAAGGGCGCGUAGGCGGCCUUCUAAGUCGAACGUGAAAUCCCCGGGCUCAACCCGGGAACUGCGUCCGAUACUGGAAGGCUUGAAUCCGGGAGAGGGAUGCGGAAUUCCAGGUGUAGCGGUGAAAUGCGUAGAUAUCUGGAGGAACACCGGUGGCGAAGGCGGCAUCCUGGACCGGUAUUGACGCUGAGGCGCGAAAGCCAGGGGAGCAAAGCGGGAUUAAGCAAACCCGG
rnacentral:rRNA from 1 species